rnacentral:rRNA from 1 species
GACGAACGCUGGCGGCGUGCUUAACACAUGCAAGUCGAACGGAGAGGCACUGCGUUUGUGGGGUGCUCGAGUGGCGAACGUGUGAGUAACACGUGGGUAACCGGCCCUGGAGUUUGGGAUAACGUCAAGUAACGGAGGCGAAUACCGGAUAGGAGCGCCUGCUGCAAGGCGGGGGUGGGAAAGGUUCGGCGUUUGGGGAUGGACUCGCGGCUGAUCGGCUUGUUGGUGGGGUAGUGGCUUACGAAGGCUUUGACGGGUAGCAGGCCUGAGAGGUUGACCGGCGAGAUUGGGACUGGGCUACGGCGCGGAGUCCUACGGGAGGCAGCAGUGGGGAAUAUUGCAGAAUGGGCAGGAGCCUGAUGCAGCAACGCCGCGUGCGGGAUGACGGCCUUCGGGUUGUACCCCGAUUUCGCCUGUGACGAAGCGUGAGUGACGGUAAUGGGUAAAGAAGCACCGGCUAACUACGUG